rnacentral:tRNA from 1 species
GGGAAUGUGGCUUAGUGGUAGAGCUCUUGCCUUGCAUGUAUAAGGCCCUGGGUUUGAUCCCCAGCCCUA